GACAGAGGGGGCAAGCGUUGCUCGGAAUUACUGGGCGUAAAGGGCGCGUAGGCGGGAUGGCAAGUCGGUCGUGAAAUCCUUCGGCUCAACCGAAGAACGUCGAUCGAUACUGCUGUUCUUGAGGGUUGCAGAGGAGACUGGAAUUCCCGGUGUAGCGGUGAAAUGUGUAGAGAUCGGGAGGAACACCUAUGGCGAAGGCAGCUCGCUGGGACGUUACUGGCGCUGAGACGUGAAAGCGUGGGGAGCAAACAGG
rnacentral:rRNA from 1 species